rnacentral:misc_RNA from 1 species
ACUGUCAUAAAAUAAGAGUUACGACGACAUAUUUUGUACAAAAAAUUGUUGUAUUUUUGCAACGUGGUCGUGACGUGGACAAUAGAAUUAUAUGUCAUGACGUGGCAGUGGUUAUAGAGCGUAGUAGGGACCAGUCAAGGAGUGCAAACCCCCCGGAAACCGAGACAAAGUCCGCCCCGGCAAGUCGCGUAGACCCGUAGAUCGCGCAUUGGGGGCGGUAAAUCGUUCCAGCACCGGGAGGCCGCAAACCUGAACGAUCCACGAAAGGCAGCAGUUCUGUGCGCCGGCGUCUCGAAAACACUAGUACAAGCACGCCUGGGGUACCCUCCAUGCACCUUAGUCCACGCCAAUUUGCCAAAUAGAUAUUGCGGUGUGCCAGUGCUCAAACCAGUUACGAGGAGCUUGGAUUUCUUGGGGUUCAGGACAAGACAGUUUGUUUUGCACCACCUUGAGAUUGUCUUUAGGUCGAAAUUUACCUUAUCAAUAGCAGAGUCAUAAUCAACUGGCAAAAACGAAUAGCACAGCUGCAGGUCGUCAGCAUAGAGAUGGUAUUUGCAAAAGGUGAUGCAUUCUACUAUGUCGGCACUGUACAACGCAUAGAGGAUCGGCCCCAGUAUAGAGCCCUGAGGGACCCCACGACCUACAGACUGAACUCCCGACCGAUACCGUGACCCAUCAGCUCUAACCAAUUCUACAUACUGCUGCCUGUUCUGCAGAUAACUGUGAAACCAUCUUACAGCGUGGAGAUCAAUACCAUAGUAUGUUAGCUUAGCCAGCAGCAGCGCAGUGUUUAUUGAGUCGAAUGCACGUGAAAAAUCAAGCAAUAUGAGAAAGCUGACCAUCCCCUGAUCCUGGGCGGUAAGCAAAUUAUCGACAAUGUCCGACAAGGCAGUUGCCGUGCUGUGUCCCUUACGAAAACCGGAUUGUAACGAUGGAAGUAGACUAUUGCUCUCAAUAUAGUUGGUUAAUUGGUCACAGACAAUACGCUCUAAUACUUUUGACAAGCAAGGUACUAGACUGAUGGGCCGCAAAUCCUGCACAGAAGUAGGGUCAUUAACUUUCGGUAUGGGUUUGACCAUAGCAGUUUUCCAACCACUUGGGAAUUCUCCUUCUGUUAUUGAGCGAUUAACGAUCGCAACUAUGGUGCGCAAUGUUUGUGGCAGUGUCAGCUGGAGCAUGUCUAAUGAUAUACCAUCAUGACCCUGAGCAUUGGAAUUGAUCCUCAUGAUAGCCUUCAGAACCACCUCCUCACUUACCGGACUAAGAGAGAAAGUGGAUGAGGAGUGACGAUGAUGCACAAAAUAAGUAAGAUCAGAAAAGUUAGUUUGAUUAUCACCUGGUACUGUGAGAAAAUGGUUAUUGAUUGCAUCAGGAUCAGCAAGGUGUGAAGGUCGAACAGUUGUCGCUAAACACCCGUGACAAGUCAUCUUCCGAGCGAAACUGAUAAACGGGGCCUCCAUCCAUCCGACGUGCGAAGAUACGCCCUCGCUUCGUCCAGCAGUAGCGCCACUUGAGCCGGCCGCACUCCUCGCGCACUCUGUGAAAGAGCACGCGGUUGCGGCGCGUCAGGCGCUCGUUGACGAAGACGCGCGCGCCCCCGUC